rnacentral:rRNA from 1 species
GACGAACGCUGGCGGCGUGCUUAACACAUGCCAGUCGAACGGAAAGGCCCCUUUGGGGGUACUCGAGUGGCGAACGGGUGAGUAACACGUGAGUAACCUGCCCUUGACUUCGGGAUAACUUCAGGAAACUGGGGCUAAUACCGGAUAGGAAUCCUUGCUGCAUGGUGGGGGUUGGAAAGCUUCGGCGGUUUUGGAUGGACUCGGGGCUUAUAAGCUUGUUGGUGGGGUAGUGGCUUACCAAGGCUUUGACGGGUCGCCGGCCUGAGAGGGCGACCGGCCACAUUGGGACUGAGAUACGGCCCAGACGCCGAAGGGAGGCAGAAGGGGGGAAUAUUGCACAAGGGGCGGAAGCCGGAUGAAGAAACGCCGCGGGCGGGAUGACGGCCUUCGGGUUGAAAACCGGUUUCAGCAGGGGCGAAGCUUGUGGUGACGGUACCUGAAGAAGAAGCACCGGCUAACUACGUG